GGCAUUAUCAUAUGUACUUUUCCCGACAACAUUAUGUUAUGAGAUUUAAAAUAUAUACUUUGUGUCUUUACAAGAGCAAAAUGGAGUGAGUUUUAGCUAUAAUUGUGUUUUGUCUUGCCCCCCCCCUUGGCUAUGCACUGAAGGACUAGGAGGCACAGGAGGACAAUUAGGGACAGGAGGACAAUUAGGGAGUGGAGGAUUGGGAGGAGGUGGAGGAUACUCUGCUGCUGCCAAAGCUGCUAAAUAUGGAGUUUCAACAGGAGCUGGAGCAGGGUUUGUACCAGGAGGACUGGGAGGAGCAGGAGGAGUUCCUGGUGCAGUACCUGGACUGGGAGGUGGACAAUACUCGGCUGCCGCAAAAGCUGCUAAAUACGGAGUUUUAGGAGGAGCUGGAGCAGGGUUCGGAGCAGGAGGAGUUCCUGGUGCAGUACCUGGACUGGGAGGGGGACAAUACUCUGCUGCCGCAAAAGCUGCUAAAUAUGGUAAGAGUAGAAAUACUACACACUCAGAUGCAUUUUCUUGUGAAUAAACUAAUUCUUAUAGGAAGGGUACAAUUUUCAAAUUGAAUUAGGAGUUGCAGGAGGAGUUGGAGCAGGGUUUGUACCAGGAGGACUGGGAGGAGCAGGAGCAGGGUUUGUACCAGGAGGACUGGGAGGAGCAGGAGCAGGAUUUGUACCAGGAGGACUGGGAGGAGCAGGAGCAGGGUUUGUACCAGGAGGACUCGGAGGAGGAGGAGCAGUUCCUGGUGCAGUACCUGGAAUGGGAGGGGGACAAUACUCUGCUGCCGCAAAAGCUGCUAAAUACGGUAUAAUAAAUAAGCACACAUGCACAAAUAUCAUACAUUGAGUUUAACUUGUUUGACUUUAUUCUAAUAGGAACCGUUA
rnacentral:lncRNA from 1 species